UUUUUUAAGCUUACUUUGCCAUUUUUUAAGCAUCUAAAAAAUUGUCAUUCUCCGGAAGUAGCAAUGUUUUCAAAGCAUAGAGGUUCUGUCACUUGUCUGAGUUUUGAAGGUCUUUGCUUCUCCGUUUUAUCGCUUGGAAACUUCCAACAAAUUUAGAUUCAACAUUGAAGAUAGAUGCGAUGCAUUUCUUCUUUUCCAGUAGUAAUGUGAUAUUGGGUCAAAGAAAGAAGGCUCCUUAGACCUCCAUUGGCACGUCAGCAUGUCAUUAUAAAACAGUGAGUUGGGGCAUGACGCAUGAGCACGUUAAAUAUGAAUGAAUCAGCCGGGCCAUAUUGCUUGGAACUUGGAAGUUGAGAUAGGAUCAUAGGAGCAAGUUUUAAUCAUGGGAAUGAAGCAAGUGGUAAAUUCGGUGUUCCAUCCCCAAUCAGUUGAGAGUACGCUACGUUGAGCUACGAGUUUCUCACACCGCAACAGGUAUUCAUAUCACGUGCCCAACUCUAACUAACAUGUGGGAUGAGUUACCACUAUUAUUGGGAUUUGGGAAAGUUGUCCACCUUUUUUUCUGGAUUGUCAGAAUCUUAAAAGACCUGCACCCCCUAUCCUGCAUCGCUGAAGGAGAAGGGCAAACAUUUGGAACUAUGGAGGAUUCUCAUCUCCAAUUACCAUCACUUGGCACAUUUGGAUCGCUAGGUAACAACUCUAGACUUAUAUUACUUUCGUAUAAUUUGGUUUUUAUAUAUAUAAUAGUACUAUAGUUUGAAUAUCAAGAAAACAGACAUACCUUCAACUUGAAAUUUGUAAUUGUAAUUGUUACCAAGGUAUGUACCUGCUGCAAACUCUUAAGCAAUGCUUUGAGCUUUCUCGGGGCAACCACUAAACUCUUGUUUGAAAUAUAAUUAGUGCCUCC